GAUGAACGCUGGCGGCGUGCUUAACACAUGCAAGUCGAACGAAGCACUUGAAGAUGAUUCUUCGGAUGAAACUUUUUGUGACUUAGUGGCGGACGGGUGAGUAACGCGUGGGUAACCUGCCUCACACAGGGGGAUAACAGUUAGAAAUGACUGCUAAUACCGCAUAACCCGAUAGGAUCGCAUGAUCCAGACGGAAAAGAUUUAUCGGUGUGAGAUGGACCCGCGUCUGAUUAGCUAGUUGGUGAGGUAACGGCCCACCAAGGCGACGAUCAGUAGCCGGCCUGAGAGGGUGAACGGCCACAUUGGGACUGAGACACGGCCCAAACUCCUACGGGAGGCAGCAGUGGGGAAUAUUGCACAAUGGGGGAAACCCUGAUGCAGCGACGCCGCGUGAGUGAAGAAGUAUUUCGGUAUGUAAAGCUCUAUCAGCAGGGAA
rnacentral:rRNA from 1 species